rnacentral:rRNA from 1 species
AUUGAACGCUGGCGGCAGGCUUAACACAUGCAAGUCGAGCGGGGGAAGGUAGCUUGCUACUGGACCUAGCGGCGGACGGGUGAGUAAUGCUUAGGAAUCUGCCUAUUAGUGGGGGACAACAUUUCGAAAGGGAUGCUAAUACCGCAUACGUCCUACGGGAGAAAGCAGGGGAUCUUCGGACCUCGCGCUAAUAGAUGAGCCUAAGUCGGAUUAGCUAGUUGGUGGGGUAAAGGCCUACCAAGGCGACGAUCUGUAGCGGGUCUGAGAGGAUGAUCCGCCACACUGGGACUGAGACACGGCCCAGACUCCUACGGGAGGCAGCAGUGGGGAAUAUUGGACAAUGGGCGCAAGCCUGAUCCAGCCAUGCCGCGUGUGUGAAGAAGGCCUUAUGGUUGUAAAGCACUUUAAGCGAGGAGGAGGCUACUCUAGUUAAUACCUAGAGAUAGUGGACGUUACUCGCAGAAUAAGCACCGGCUAACUCUGUGCCAGCCGCCGCAGUAAUAC